rnacentral:lncRNA from 1 species
UGGCAGACCCCUAAGUCCUCGAACUUCAGGGCAGCACUGCCUGUGUGGGAACUCUCCCUUGUCUCCUUGAUUUCACGGCCACCUCUGCUGGCGCCCUCUCUCGUCUCCGCCGCCAGCCCCCGCCUCCUUUCUCGGGAAGCUUGGGUCUCCCUGGGAGCGGGUCUGCCCUUGGGGGGAGGCCUCUGGGCUCUGUGCCCUGCAGCUCGGCAGACAUUCGGGGCGGACAGAAACGGGGCUCGGCGCCCCCCGCGUGCACGUGUGCUAGCCCAGGCAGGAGGGAGCGCCUCGGCGGAGGAGUCAAGGAAGAGGGGGAGGGAGAAACGCGCCAGAACCUCGGUCCCGGGCGCCCUGGUCGGCCGCGGAGGAGCUGCAACCUCCAACAGGAAGGUGUGGUCCCUGCCAUGCUAUCUGCUCUGCUCAGUGACUGAAGGCGCCUGCAUCCCAGCUCUGCCAGGAAGCAAAGGUAAGGGCACUGCUCAGCACCAAAGCCCUGGAUAGUGUGUUCAGGGCAUCCCCUCACCCUUGGAGCCCUGAUGAAGGGGGCAUGUCUUCCCUCUGCGAUUGCCAAGAACAGUCCUAAGAUGGAAUGAGAUGGAUCAAUUGGGCACUGUGAUGGAAUGGUGUUUAUCUUGCAUUUGCAGAGACAUUUACAACAGAGAAGCACUUUCUUGUGCAUUGCCUUAUUCAGUGCUCCCCAAAAAAUCUGAGGUGGAUAUUAUUAUCCCCAGUUACAGAAGAGAAAACUGAAGCUCAGAGAGGGAAAGGACUUGCCCAAAGACACACAGCUGGUAGGCAGCUAAGGCUGAAUUCCCAGUUUUUUCAUGUCUGUAUCCCAAUGGCCUGUGCACAUUGUAGGUUCUUGGUACAUGUUUGAUGAAUGAAUGAAU